rnacentral:rRNA from 1 species
AGAGUUUGAUCCUGGCUCAGGACGAACGCUGGCGGCGUGCUUAACACAUGCAAGUCGAACGGAAAGGCCCUGCUUUUGUGGGGUGCUCGAGUGGCGAACGGGUGAGUAACACGUGAGUAACCUGCCCUUGACUUUGGGAUAACUUCAGGAAACUGGGGCUAAUACCGGAUAGGAGCUCCUGCUGCAUGGUGGGGGUUGGAAAGUUUCGGCGGUUGGGGAUGGACUCGCGGCUUAUCAGCUUGUUGGUGGGGUAGUGGCUUACCAAGGCUUUGACGGGUAGCCGGCCUGAGAGGGUGACCGGCCACACUGGGACUGAGAUACGGCCCAGACUCCUACGGGAGGCAGCAGUGGGGAAUAUUGCACAAUGGGCGCAAGCCUGAUGCAGCAACGCCGCGUGCGGGAUGACGGCCUUCGGGUUGUAAACCGCUUUCAGCAGGGACGAAGCUUUUUGUGACGGUACCUGCAGAAGAAGCACCGGCUAACUACGUGCCAGCAGCCGCGGUAAUA